CAAUAGCGUAUAUUAAAGUUGUUGCAGUUAAAAAGCUCGUAGUUGGAUCUGAGGAUUAGAGCCCCAGGUUGGCCGCAUGGCUACACUUGUGGCUCAGCCUGCAUAGUCGGUGAUUGUUUUGGUGCUCUUAACUGAGUGCCUUAACUGCCCGGCCACGUUUACUUUGAAAAAAUUGGAGUGCUCAAAUCAGGCCCAAUGCCUGAACAGAUGUGCAUGGAAUAAUGGAAAAGGACUUCGGUUCUAUUUUGUUGGUUUUCGGAACAUGAAGUAAUGAUUAAGAGGGACAGACGGGGGCAUUCGUAUUGCGGUGGGAGAGGUGAAAUUCUUGGAUCAUCGCAAGACGCCCUACAGCGAAAGCAUUUGCCAAGAAUGUUUCCAUUAAUCAAGAACGAAAGUCAGAGGUU
rnacentral:rRNA from 2 species